GACGAACGCUGGCGGCGUGCUUAACACAUGCAAGUCGAGCGGUAAGGCCCUUUCGGGGGUACGACGAGCGGCGAACGGGUGAGUAACACGUGGGUGACCUGCCCUCAGCUCUGGGAUAAGCCUGGGAAACCGGGUCUAAUACCGGAUAUGACUCCAUGACGCAUGUUGUGGGGUGGAAAGCCUUGUGCGGCUGAGGAUGGGCCCGCGGCCUAUCAGCUUGUUGGUGGGGUGAUGGCCUACCAAGGCGACGACGGGUAGCCGGCCUGAGAGGGCGACCGGCCACACUGGGACUGAGACACGGUCCAGACUCCUACGGGAGGCAGCAGUGGGGAAUCUUGCGCAAUGGGCGAAAGCCCGACGCAGCGACGCCGCGUGAGGGAUGACGGCCU
rnacentral:rRNA from 1 species